rnacentral:rRNA from 1 species
AGAGUUUGAUCCUGGCUCAGGAUGCACGCUGGCGGCGUGCCUAAUACAUGCAAGUCGAACGCUUUGUGCUUAAUUGGAAUGACGAGCUUGCUCUGAUUUGAUUUUUUGAUUUCAAAGAGUGGCGAACGGGUGAGUAACACGUGGGUAACCUACCUCUUAGCAGGGGAUAACAUUUGGAAACAAGUGCUAAUACCGUAUAAUACCAACAACCGCAUGGUUGUUGGUUGAAAGAUGGUUCUGCUAUCACUAAGAGAUGGACCCGCGGUGCAUUAGCUAGCUGGUAAGGUAAUGGCUUACCAAGGCAAUGAUGCAUAGCCGAGUUGAGAGACUGAUCGGCCACAAUGGGACUGAGACACGGCCCAUACUCCUACGGGAGGCAGCAGUAGGGAAUCUUCCACAAUGGGCGCAAGCCUGAUGGAGCAACGCCGCGUGUGUGAUGAAGGGUUUCGGCUCGUAAAACACUGUUAUAAGAGAAGAACGGCACUGAGAGUAACUGUUCAGUGUGUGACGGUAUCUUACCAGAAAGGAACGGCUAAAUACGUGCCAGCAGCCGCGGUAAUACGUAUGUUCCAAGCGUUAUCCGGAUUUAUUGGGCGUAAAGCGAGCGCAGACGGUUAUUUAAGUCUGAAGUGAAAGCCCUCAGCUCAACUGAGGAAUUGCUUUGGAAACUGGAUGACUUGAGUGCAGUAGAGGAAAGUGGAACUCCAUGUGUAGCGGUGAAAUGCGUAGAUAUAUGGAAGAACACCAGUGGCGAAGGCGGCUUUCUGGACUGUAACUGACGUUGGGGCUCGAAAGUGUGGGUAGCAAACAGGAUUAGAUACCCUGGUAGUCCACACCGUAAACGAUGAGUGCUAGAUGUUCGAGGGUUUCCGC